UACAGAGGUCUCAAGCGUUGUUCGGAUUCAUUGGGCGUAAAGGGGUGCGUAGGUGGCGCGGUAAGUCGGGUGUGAAAUUUCGGAGCUUAACUCCGAAACUGCAUUCGAUACUGCCGUGCUUGAGGACUGGAGAGGAGACUGGAAUUACGGUGUAGCAGUGAAAUGCGUAGAGAUCGUAAGGAAGACCAGUGGCGAAGGCGGGGUCUCUGGACAGUUCCUGACACUGAGGCACGAAGG
rnacentral:rRNA from 1 species